rnacentral:rRNA from 1 species
AACGUAGGAGGCGAGCGUUAUCCGGAUUUACUGGGCGUAAAGGGCGUGCAGGUGGCUUGCUAAGUGGUGCGUGAAAGCGCUCGGCUCAACCGGGCGAGGGCGUGCCAAACUGGCAGACUAGAAACAGGCAGAGGAAAGUGGAAUUCGGGGUGUAGUGGUGAAAUGCGUAGAGAUCCCGAGGAACUCCUGUGACGAAGGCGACCUUCUGGGCCUGCUUUGACACUCAGGAACGAAAGCCUGGGGAGCGAAAGGG